CGGGUUUUAGAGGAAAGUGGAAGGGCCUGUUUUGGGUAGACUGAGAAGGCUGCAGGAGGCAGCGACUUUGAAACCCAGACUCUGAGGAAGAAGAGGGGUGAGCGUUGCCACUGAAGGCAGGGUGGAGCAGAGGUUUCCUGUUGGAGGGAGGGGGCGAGGGAAGGCUCAGGGGAGGGGAGGAGCUUGAUUUGCUGUAGGAAUUGAAAGCCACCAGAGUGUCUGAAUCCUGUGGAGCAAGGAGAUGGUGACAGACGAGGCGGAGAGACAGCACAGGAACCUGGACGCCGCUUUUGCUGGAGAGUCUUCCUAUGUAGCCCAGGCUGGCCUCGAAUGCAGCAGUCCUCCUGCCUCAGCUUCCCAAAUGCUGGGAUCAGAGGCGUAUGCCCCCAUGCCGGCAUCUCUUCAUUUUCAAAUCAAGGAUAACAAUAACCACUACGGGACCAGGGAUUUAGCUCAGUGGUUUCGCCUCCUGCUGCACAAGCGCAAGGGCCCGAGUUCGAUCCCCGGUACCAAAAAAAACCCAAAAAACAGUAACCACUACAAUUGGCCUCUGCAUCAAUGGAUUCUGCAUCUGUAGAUUCAACUAACCAUAGAUGAGACAUUAAAAAUAUUGUAUCUUAAAAAAAAUUUUAAAAAUAUUGUAUCUGUACUGAACAUGAACCUGUCGUCAUCCCCUAAAUAAUAUAGCAAAACUACUGUUCACACAGCAUUUACAUGGUACUGUAAAUAAUCUGGAGACAAUUUCAAAUAUACAGGAGGAGUGCAUAUGCUAUAUGCAAAUACCGUGCCAUUUUUCAUAGGGGACUUGAGCAUCCUAGAUUUUGGUAUCCCAGGGGAUUUCAGAACCAACCCCUCAUAGAUACUGAGGAGCAGCUAUAUUGGGGAAAAGCAUUAUGUUUUACAAAUUAUUUUUGUAUAUUUACUUAGGUAUGCACAGAGUCCCAACUAUAUACUUGGCACUAUGGAAACACUGUGUCUAAAGAAGGAGACACAAUUCUUGCAUUUUUGGAAAUUCAGUC
ensembl:lncRNA